GGGAUUAUAUUUAAUUAUAAUAUUUGAAUUGCAAUCAGAAGGUACCUAAGAGGUUAAUCUUU
rnacentral:tRNA from 1 species